rnacentral:rRNA from 1 species
GAUGAACGCUGGCGGCGUGCCUAAUACAUGCAAGUCGAGCGAACGGACGAGAAGCUUGCUUCUCUGAUGUUAGCGGCGGACGGGUGAGUAACACGUGGAUAACCUACCUAUAAGACUGGGAUAACUUCGGGAAACCGGAGCUAAUACCGGAUAAUAUUUUGAACCGCAUGGUUCAAAAGUGAAAGACGGUCUUGCUGUCACUUAUAGAUGGAUCCGCGCUGCAUUAGCUAGUUGGUAAGGUAACGGCUUACCAAGGCAACGAUGCAUAGCCGACCUGAGAGGGUGAUCGGCCACACUGGAACUGAGACACGGUCCAGACUCCUACGGGAGGCAGCAGUAGGGAAUCUUCCGCAAUGGGCGAAAGCCUGACGGAGCAACGCCGCGUGAGUGAUGAAGGUCUUCGGAUCGUAAAACUCUGUUAUUAGGGAAGAACAUAUGUGUAAGUAACUGUGCACAUCUUGACGGUACCUAAUCAGAAAGCCACGGCUAACUACGUGCCAGCAGCCGCGGUAAUACGUAGGUGGCAAGCGUUAUCCGGAAUUAUUGGGCGUAAAGCGCGCGUAGGCGGUUUUUUAAGUCUGAUGUGAAAGCCCACGGCUCAACCGUGGAGGGUCAUUGGAAACUGGAAAACUUGAGUGCAGAAGAGGAAAGUGGAAUUCCAUGUGUAGCGGUGAAAUGCGCAGAGAUAUGGAGGAACACCAGUGGCGAAGGCGACUUUCUGGUCUGUAACUGACGCUGAUGUGCGAAAGCGUGGGGAUCAAACAGGAUUAGAUACCCUGGUAGUCCACGCCGUAAACGAUGAGUGCUAAGUGUUAGGGGGUUUCCGCCCCUUAGUGCUGCAGCUAACGCAUUAAGCACUCCGCCUGGGGAGUACGACCGCAAGGUUGAAACUCAAAGGAAUUGACGGGGACCCGCACAAGCGGUGGAGCAUGUGGUUUAAUUCGAAGCAACGCGAAGAACCUUACCAAAUCUUGACAUCCUUUGACAACUCUAGAGAUAGAGCCUUCCCCUUCGGGGGACAAAGUGACAGGUGGUGCAUGGUUGUCGUCAGCUCGUGUCGUGAGAUGUUGGGUUAAGUCCCGCAACGAGCGCAACCCUUAAGCUUAGUUGCCAUCAUUAAGUUGGGCACUCUAAGUUGACUGCCGGUGACAAACCGGAGGAAGGUGGGGAUGACGUCAAAUCAUCAUGCCCCUUAUGAUUUGGGCUACGCACGUGCUACAAUGGACAAUACAAAGGGCAGCGAAACCGCGAGGUCAAGCAAAUCCCAUAAAGUUGUUCUCAGUUCGGAUUGUAGUCUGCAACUCGACUACAUGAAGCUGGAAUCGCUAGUAAUCGUAGAUCAGCAUGCUACGGUGAAUACGUUCCCGGGUCU